GCAUUACAAGUUGGGUGGAGUUAAUUUUGUGUCAUUUGGAUCCUAGAUUCCUUCUUUCCAUUAGGAAGGUUUAAGGAGCAAUGCUACUGCAGUUAUGCAGUGCAUGGUUUACUCUGUUUUGUCGUGUAUUUGCUUGGAUGUGAGUGACUAUAUUAUCAAGGGUGAUUUUUACCUUUACAUUUCGGGUAAAUUGAUUUGAG
rnacentral:lncRNA from 1 species